AGAUAUAUGACAAAUAGCACCCUAGGUUUUGUUUUUGUUUUGUGUGUGUGUGUGUGAUUGGCUUUAGAUCAGAAAUUUCUGGAUGGAAUGCCUUAGUUAUUUUGAGUAUCACACAUCACAUUGUUAAAUUAUAAAUUCAUGCAACUUGUCUUGUUUCGCAUAUACCACAACGAAAAGUGAUAUUCAUUUGAGAGAAGGUUGAAUAAUCAUUUGAUGUUGUAGUUGGUGACUAACCAUUUGAACAUAUACCUUAUAGGACUAAUAGGUUUUUGUUCUAAUGAAUUAUUACUUGAAAGCAUUUAGUUGUCGCACUAAAUUUCAUUCCUUAGAUGAAUGUAUCAAAUACAUUGGUCACUCUAACAUUUGUUUUAAUGAAAAAUAACCUUGAAGCUUGAAUAUAUUUCACUUUUUUUGAGUAAGCAAAGAUUUAAUUUAUUAACAACGACUAACAAAAGAAUGCACAAAAGCAUACAGAAGUGCUAAAAGGUUAAACAAAGCAAAGGGAUACACAAAUCAACUCUCUCAUACUACUUAAAGCUUAGUCAGUCAUUGAUGUCCAUCAUGGACAAUGAACAAUCUUCUAUGUACACUUCAACACCCUUCAAAAAUUAUACAUAAAAGAUUGUUUGAUCCGAUUUUUCAAUAUCAUCAAAUGCUCUUCUAUUUCUCUCAUUUCAUUUGGUUCAAAACAAGCACAAGGGAGCAGCUCUCCAAACUUUCUUCUUUUUCUUUCUAACAAAAGAUCCAUGCCUUUUGGCCUUAUAACACAACUUUGCUUGCUUCACAUCAAGCUAGCCCACUCCACUCUUGCUUGCCAUGCUCUAGAAAAACUGGACCUUCCUCCCUCUCAAUAGGCGACUUUUGCCCCACAACAUGUAACCUCCAUCCCUUUCAAGGUACGCUAUAUCCAAAACCAUUCUCCUUCCAGUGUGUGGACCCCACAACAUUGUCUCCGAUCUCCUCCUUNNNN
rnacentral:lncRNA from 1 species